GCGGGUGUGGCGGAAUUGGCAGACGCGCUAGGCUUAGGGCCUAGUGGGGGAAACCCCGUGGAGGUUCAAGUCCUCUCGGCCGCACCU
rnacentral:tRNA from 1 species